UACGUAGGGUGCGAGCGUUGUCCGGAAUUAUUGGGCGUAAAGGGCUCGUAGGCGGUCUGUUGCGUCGGGAGUGAAAACUCAGGGCUUAACCCUGAGCCUGCUUCCGAUACGGGCAGACUAGAGGUAUGCAGGGGGAGAACGGAAUUCCUGGUGUAGCGGGUGGAAUGCGCAGAUAUCAGGAGGAACACCGGUGGCGAAGGCGGGUCUCUGGGCAGUAACUGACGCUGAGGAGCGAAAGCGUGGGGAGCGAACAGG
rnacentral:rRNA from 1 species